rnacentral:rRNA from 1 species
UACGUAGGGUGCAAGCGUUGUCCGGAAUUAUUGGGCGUAAAGAGCUCGUAGGCGGUCUGUCACGUCGGCUGUGAAAACUCGGGGCUCAACCCCGAGCCUGCAGUCGAUACGGGCAGACUAGAGUCCGGCAGGGGAGACUGGAAUUCCUGGUGUAGCGGUGAAAUGCGCAGAUAUCAGGUGGAACACCGGUGGCGAAGGCGGGUCUCUGGGCCGGAACUGACGCUGAGGAGCGAAAGCGUGGGGAGCGAACAGG